rnacentral:snRNA from 1 species
GCACUCGCUUUGGCAGCACAUACACUAAAACUGGAAGGACACAGAGAAGAUUAGCAUGGCCCCUGAGCAAGGAUGACACACAAAUUCUUGAAGUGUUCCAUAUUUUU